rnacentral:rRNA from 1 species
UUAAGAUAUAAAAUAUUUUGUGCUAAAUUAGUAUUAGUUAUUUUCUUGAAAAUUAAAGAUUUUGGCGGUAUUUUAGUCUAUUCAGAGGAACCUGUUCUAUAAUCGAUAAUCCACGAUUUAUAAUACUUGUUUUAUUAAUUUACAUAUCGUCGUAGUUUGAAUAUUUUAUAAGAAUUUAAAUAUUCAUAAUUUUAUAUUUUAAAAAAAAUCAGAUCAAGGUGUAGUUUAUGAAUAAGGAGUAAUGGGUUACAAUAAAUUUAUUUUAAUGGUUAUUUUAAUUAAAUUUAAAAUAUAAAUUGGAUUUGAUAGUAAUUUUAAUUAAAUUAUUAAUUUGAUUAAAGCUCUAAAAUAUGC